AUUGAACGCUGGCGGCAUGCCUUACACAUGCAAGUCGAACGGUAACAGGUCUUCGGAUGCUGAUGAGUGGCGAACGGGUGAGUAAUACAUCGGAACGUGCCUAGUAGUGGGGGAUAACUACUCGAAAGAGUGGCUAAUACCGCAUGAGAUCUACGGAUGAAAGCAGGGGAUCGCAAGACCUUGUGCUACUAGAGCGGCCGAUGGCAGAUUAGGUAGUGGGUGGGAUAAAAGCUUACCAAGCCGACGAUCUGUAGCUGGUCUGAGAGGACGAUCAGCCACACUGGGACUGAGACACGGCCCAGAAUCCUACGGGAGGCAGCAGUGGGGAAUUUUGGACAAUGGGAGAAAGCCUGAUCCAGCAAUGCCGCGUGCAGGAUGAAGGCCUUCGGGUUGUAAACUGCUUUUGUACGGAACGAAAAGCCCCGGGUUAAUACCCUGGGGUCAUGACGGUACCGUAAGAAUAAGCACCGGCUAACUACGUGCCAGCCGCCGCAGUAA
rnacentral:rRNA from 1 species